UACGGAGGGAGCUAGCGUUGUUCGGAAUUACUGGGCGUAAAGCGCACGUAGGCGGCUUUGUAAGUUAGAGGUGAAAGCCCGGAGCUCAACUCCGGAACUGCCUUUAAGACUGCAUCGCUUGAAUCCAGGAGAGGUGAGUGGAAUUCCGAGUGUAGAGGUGAAAUUCGUAGAUAUUCGGAAGAACACCAGUGGCGAAGGCGGCUCACUGGACUGGUAUUGACGCCGAGGCGCGAAAGCUAGGGGAGCAAACGGG
rnacentral:rRNA from 1 species